rnacentral:lncRNA from 1 species
GGGUCCGUAAACAAUGAGAAGAUGAUUUUCAAGUGAAGAAAGCUAACCUUUUAUAGGUGUAGAAUAAACCGGGUUGCAGAAGGAUAACUCACAAUCAAUGUCAGAUCGUGCUUCACGUUGGUAUGAAGUUAAGAAGGCGAUAAUGGCGCUAAAUCUGUAACGCGAACGGUUUCGGUUGAGUAGAAUAGAAGGCCAAACGACGCAAGUGGAGACAAAGAAAGAGAUUCUUCAUAUCUAUGAUAGUCAUCCAAAUCUCUCGAAACACCAUGGACGGUGUGUGAGAAAGCAAAAGAAAUUUUUUAGGUAUCGGACAUAGAGGAAGAAGACGAACCCUAUUUGCGGCGUGAAGGUGGUGAAGAGUAAAGGGCCUCUUGGUUUGAGGUUCUAAUUUUUGUUAUUAUGGAAAGCCCACAAUUUUCCCUUCUUUUCGUUAAAUGAAACGCGAAGUAUUGAGGCAGAGGACACGUGGCGGCGCGAGAGAAGUCGACUUUCUUAGGUGGAUGCUGACGUGGACCCCCUAAGAA